rnacentral:rRNA from 1 species
CAAUAGCGUAUAUUAAAGUUGUUGCGGUUAAAAAGCUCGUAGUUGGAGUUCUGCCAGGUGCCGCCUGUCCGCCCCAGUGGUGAGUACGUGGCGCGCAUUUGGCCCUUUCAAGGGGAGCGUAUCUGCACUUUAUUGUGUGGUGCGGGAUCCUUGACUUUUACUUUGAGGAAAUAGGAGUGUUCCAAGCAGGCUCUCGUCGUGCACAGCUCAGCAUGGAAUAAUAGCAUUGGACCUCGAUUCUAAGCUGUUGGUUGCCAGAAGCGAGGUAAUGAUGAAGAGGGAUAGUUGGGGGCAUUCGUAUUUAACUGUCAGAGAUGAAAUUCUUGGAUUUGUUAAAGACGGACUACUGCGAAAGCAUCUGCCAUGGGUGUUUUCAUUGA